AGCGGAUGCGCGGCGUGGGUGACUGGGGCGGCGUGGUAGCCCUCGGGGAAAAGGGGCUCGAUAUGCUCGCGGUCGCGAGCAUCGAAGCAGACGGCAGCAGUUUAACAUCUGCAGACUACAUCCACCUGUACACGACCUUAGGAAAGAUGUCAAUGGAAUUAAAUCCCCACCAAAUCUACGAGCGCUACAAAGAGGCAUCUGAAGAUUACCUCAAAACAAAAGUUUGCCCUCAUUGAACCAUAAUGAAGAAGAAUGUCUGUUGAGGGAAAUGGUAAUCAGAUGGAGGAAGCAUCUAAGUAUGGUCACGUGGUUGAGUGAGCUUUUGCAUUACAUCAGUGGCUACAACAUCUCAGACACGACACUCUCAGAACUAAGGGAGCUUAGCUGCAGUCAAUUCUUUGAAUUGGUUUUUGAUGAGAUAAAGGAUAAGGUAACUGAUGCUGGACUGUUUCCUUUAUCAGAAAUAUUCAAGGAGCAUGUAUUUGAAGAGGUGAUGUCCUUGCUGAAGCGGCAAUAGAUGCUACUAGCCACUUGAAGAAAGAGAAAGUUCUAGAUUGGUUGAAAUAG